ensembl:rRNA 5S_rRNA 5S ribosomal RNA
GUCUACAGUCCAUACCAUCCUGAAUGUGACUGAUCUUGGAGGCUAAGCAAGGUUGGGCCUGGUUAGUACUUGGAUGAGAGAUUGCCUGGGAAUACCAGAUGCUGUAGGCU